rnacentral:snRNA from 1 species
GGAUGUGAGGGCAAUCUGGCUGUGACAUGUUACCCCAUUGAUCGUCAGGGUUGAUUUGGCUAAUCUGGCUGGCCAGGCAAGUGUCCCCUUCCUCCCUCACCGCUCCAUGUGCAUCCCUCCCAAAACUGGGCACUCGAUUGAAGAGGACUAUCAACCCCUAUAGAAGUGGACCAGUCUUCAGUCAAGGGUAUAUGAGUAGCUGCACUCCCCUGCUAGUACCUCUAAACAAGCUCCCAAAAUGGCCCAGUUAAAUGAGAACAUAAAUAUAAUGAGAAUCAUGUUGUGUAUUUUCGAGGCCAAUAGGUCUGUAAAACAAA